GGAUGCUAGUCCGGUCAGUUGGCCCGGGAAGCUCCAGCUCGUACUCUGGAGGAACCCCAUACUGAAUCCUUAUCAAUGAGAGCUCAUCUGGAGUCAAAGAGCUGGAAAUGGUGUCUGGUGCAAAGACCAGACGAGGUUCAGUCCCGACUACGGGUCUAUCUACGGUACAUGGACUUUGAGAAACUGGGGCUGACGAACUCCUAAAACCGCUAGAAGAGGAGAUAUCGGAAGAUAUUUUGGAUCAAAUAGAAGCCACAAAAAUCCCGAAAAUAAAAUCGAGAAAAACAGCGAACAAGCUCUCGAGGGAGCUAAACAGACGGAAUACGAAGAAGAAAGAAUAGAAAAAUGGUAAGAAGUUUCGAAACUAACCUAGGUUGGUCCGAGGAGUGCAGGAAGACGGCAAGGAUGGUGGAAGUCAACCCGAAGGAUGUCUAAGGCCGAGAAGGAUGCUAAAGGAGGCUGGAGAUCUCGGGGAAGAGGAGGAAAUCGAGGGACUCUCUCAGGCGAAGUGAAACCCCUGA
rnacentral:lncRNA from 1 species